GUGUAUUUAAAAGUGAUUAGACAGGUUGUUUGUCACGGUCGGUGUUGAUGGUUAACACUCGGUACGAGGUCUUACCCCCGCACUCAAGUUUGUCGGCACUCUGUGUGCUCGCUGUGCGGGCUGACGCCCACACAUCUCGGCACACAUCUCGGAAAUGAUCCUUCCGCAGGUUCACCUACGGAAA
rnacentral:misc_RNA from 1 species